rnacentral:rRNA from 1 species
GAUUUCUGGCGAACCGAUGCGACCCGUGCUCGUAUCGGGCGUGUGUGCCGCGUCGAGUUUGUCAUCCUUCCAGAAGGCUGCGUCUACCAUUCACUUGGCCGGACGUAUGUGAUCUGGAUCGAUUACUUUGAAAAAAUUAGAGUGUUUAAAAAGCAGGCUUACGCUGUGAAUACAUUAGCAUGGAAUAAUAAUAUAGGACUUUGGUUCUAUUUUGUUGGUUUCUAGGACUGAAGUAAUGAUAGGGGUGCUAGUAUUCCGCGGCCAGAGGUGAAAUUCUUGGAUUAGACUAAUUACUGCGAAAGCAUU